rnacentral:rRNA from 1 species
AGUGAACGCUGGCGGUAGGCCUAACACAUGCAAGUCGAACGGCAGCACAGAGGAGCUUGCUCCUUGGGUGGCGAGUGGCGGACGGGUGAGGAAUACAUCGGAAUCUACUCUGUCGUGGGGGAUAACGUAGGGAAACUUACGCUAAUACCGCAUACGACCUACGGGUGAAAGCAGGGGAUCUUCGGACCUUGCGCGAUUGAAUGAGCCGAUGUCGGAUUAGCUAGUUGGCGGGGUAAAGGCCCACCAAGGCGACGAUCCGUAGCUGGUCUGAGAGGAUGAUCAGCCACACUGGAACUGAGACACGGUCCAGACUCCUACGGGAGGCAGCAGUGGGGAAUAUUGGACAAUGGGCGCAAGCCUGAUCCAGCCAUACCGCGUGGGUGAAGAAGGCCUUCGGGUUGUAAAGCCCUUUUGUUGGGAAAGAAAUCCUGUCGAUUAAUACUCGGUGGGGAUGACGGUACCCAAAGAAUAAGCACCGGCUAACUUCGUGCCAGCAGCCGCCGUAA